CUUUGAUUCGAAAAUUUCCGGAUAUCCGGAAAUUCGAAUAUCCAGAUUUUUUUGUGAUAUUUGCGGAUAUCCGCUUUGAUAAAUAUAAAUUUUAAAAAAAUCUGUAAACUAUAUAACCAUAUCAGAUAUUUAAAAUUUUUAUUUAAUGUACUUUCAAAAUAAGUUCCAAAUAUCAAACAAAACCGUUGUUGUUAUCACCGAUCAACAAAAUGUUAUCAAACUAAUUCUAAAAACCAAGACCCGAUAGAUUAAGAUGU
rnacentral:lncRNA from 1 species